rnacentral:ncRNA from 1 species
GACGCGCAAGCAAAUGGGCUUGAUGUAAGGGCUAAACGGGGUCGAGUUG